rnacentral:lncRNA from 1 species
AGAAGAACAUGAAGCCAGUGGAGAGUGCAGCCUUCAUCAGGCUGGGGGACAGGCCCUUGAAGAAGCCCCGGGUGCCUUCUUCCUGUAGUACCUGCUGGGUGAGGUCCAGGAGGCCCCUGUAGCUCCGCACCUGGAGAGAGGAAGGUGGAGGCUGAGGAGGAAGCAGGGACCUAAACCACGACUGCCCACCCGGGACAAGGCAGCUCCCGUAACUGCCUGCAGAUGGAUGAAGGAGGCCCUGGAGGAGGGAACUCCUCACUCUUUCUAAUGCAUGUUGCUGAGGAAGGGCCUGGGGUCAGCAGCUGGAGAUCGAGAGCUCCUUCCUGAUGUAGAAUUCUCGGCUACUUCUCCAGCACCAUGUCUGCCUACACGCCACCAUGCUUCCCACUAUGGUGACAGUGGAUGAAACCUCUGAACUGUAAGCCACCCCCAAUUAAAUGUUUUCCUUUAUAAUGUUGCUGUGAGGCCCAGCACUCACCUUUAAUCACCACCCCCUAUACACACACACACACACACACACACACACUGGAGAGGCAGAGGAAGGUGGAUCUGACUUCUAGGACAACCAGGGCUACAUGGAGAAAUCAUGACUUGAAAAGCAAAACAAAAAGAUCACAGCAAAAGAACUUUAACUAAGACACCCCCAAAACAAAAGAAACAAACAAAACACCUAAGAAGAGAAGCCUUUGAAAAGGCCGUCAAAUUAGCCCGCAGCUGAAGCAAGCACAGUGACCAGGAGGUCAGGACACUGGUUCCCCGCCUUGCCUUCUCUCAUUCACCCUGGAACCCUUCCAGUAGGUUCCCCUGGGAAACUCAGUCAGGUUAAACCAGGGCAGAGGACUAAGUCACUGAACCGUCUUCUUAGGGGUGACUGGGCUGCCCAGUCCUUCAUGGUCUCAAGUUUCCCUCAGUCUAAGAGGGGAAGAAGAGACAGCAAAGAUGCAGGCCUCCUGGCUCGUUGUCCACAGACACCGAGAAGCUAGCGAGUCUGCCUGCAAACCCAGACGGAAACUGCACCGUUCAAACCAAACACAAGGUGGGAGAGGCUGUUGUGUCCGGAUUUCUAGAAAUAAGCACUUCUGCAUUGCUGGAGACAGGUCCAGAAGACUGGGUUUUGACUCCUAGGGAGAUUGAGGCAGAAGGACCACAGUGUGAGGGGCAGCCUGGACUACACAGCUCAACUCAGUCUUAAAAUAAAGGCUAAAAGGAAAGCUGUGACUCACACCUGUAACCUAGAAUCCAGGAGGCAAGGCAAGAGGACUGGGAGCCAGCCUGGGCUAUAUAAGACUUCAAGAAAUUCAGAAAUUCAGACAAAAGGCAAAAUGCUAGCCAAACAUGUACAAGACCAUGGGUCCUGCUCCCCAGCACCAAAAGGGGUCACGGUAGAGCUCAGGGUCGAGUCCCUGCCUUUUAUGCACAAAAUCCUGAGUUUAUAAACCCAUUGUUACAAAAAUAAAUAAAUAAAUAAAUAAUAAAUAAAUAAAU